rnacentral:rRNA from 1 species
UUUAACUGAAGAGUUUGAUCCUGGCUCAGAUUGAACGCUGGCGGCAUGCCUAACACAUGCAAGUCGAACGGUAACAGGCAGAGCUUGCUCUGUGCUGACGAGUGGCGGACGGGUGCGUAACACGUAGGAAUCUGCCUAGUAGUU